UUCGGUAGAUUGCUAGCGGCGGACGGGUGCGUAACACGUGGGUAACCUGCCCCUAUCACUGGGAUAACACACUGAAAAGUGUGCUAAUACCAGAUAACAUAAGCUUUUGGCAUCAUUAGCUUAUCAAAGAAUUUCGGAUAGGGAUGGGCCCGCGUCUGAUUAGCUAGUUGGUGAGGUAACGGCUCACCAAGGCAACGAUCAGUAGCCGACCUGAGAGGGUGAUCGGCCACACUGGAACUGAGACACGGUCCAGACUCCUACGGGAGGCAGCAGUGGGGAAUAUUGCACAAUGGGCGAAAGCCUGAUGCAGCAACGCCGCGUGAGCGAUGAAGGCCUUCGGGUCGUAAAGCUCUGUCCUAUGGGAAGAUAAUGACGGUACCAUAGGAGGAAGCCCCGGCUAACUACGUGCCAGCAGCCGCGGUAAUACGUAGGGGGCAAGCGUUAUCCGGAAUUACUGGGCGUAAAGGGUGCGUAGGCGGUUUAUCAAGUCAGGGGUGAAAGGCUACGGCUCAACCGUAGUGAGCCUCUGAAACUGGUGAACUUGAGUGUAGGAGAGGAAAGUGGAAUUCCCAGUGUAGCGGUGAAAUGCGUAGAUAUUGGGAGGAACACCAGU
rnacentral:rRNA from 1 species